GAAGAUCACAUAAUAUUACACCAAAAGAAUAUAAUAAUGUCCUGGAUAUGAUAAAAGAUUCUGUUUGUUCAAGAAGCUUAGCACUGGCAUCAUCCUCCCCUACCAAGAGUUUUUCAUCUGCCAUUGUCUAUUAGAGUCAGGCAUCAGUUCACUUAAUACUUUUAUGGGGAAGAAUAACAGGAAAAACAGAACUCAGCAGCACACAUUAUGUUGUUGCUAAAACAAAA
rnacentral:misc_RNA from 1 species